UACGAAGGGGGCGAGCGUUGUUCGGAUUUACUGGGCGUAAAGGGCGCGCAGGCGGCGAGUUUUGUCAGGCGUGAAAGCCCCGGGCUCAACCUGGGAAUUGCGCUUGAAACGGGCUUGCUAGAGAUCGGGAGAGGAGAGUGGAAUUCCCAGUGUAGAGGUGAAAUGCGUAGAUAUCGGGAGGAACACCUGUGGCGAAAGCGGCUCACUGGACAGUAACUGACGCUGAUGCACGAAAGCUAGGGGAGCAAACAGG
rnacentral:rRNA from 1 species